CUUUCAGUGUUAAAAAUGAUUGCAGUUUCACUAUGUACAAGAUGUGCCGUAGCACAGUGAUUAGAGGAGCGAGCUUUGAUCUAAGGAUCAUUGGUUCAAAUCCAACAUCAAUCAUUCUGCCCAUGUUAGUUUUGCACUGGAUAGUUACAUGCCAACACAAAAGGUUGUAAAAGUAGCCAAAUAAGAGUUUGUUAGUGUGUGUCUACAGUUUAAGUGCAUUUAUAUUGGUAGCUAUAGUGAGGUAGGACUAGGCUAUUGCUGAUUAUGGGUUGGUUGUGUUGCUUAGGCGGUGGUGAUUAAAACACCAUAAUUCACAAAGCUGUCUUCUUUUAAUGUAGGUAUACCUUUAUCAAAGGCUAUAGGCUUACUUUAAGCGGGGACAGGAUAGGUCUAUUUGAGUCUAUGUGUGUGUGGAAACCAUUAUUAUUAUUCCAUUCUCACAGUUUUAUAUGGGCUUAUCAUGGUAAAGUAGCUUAUUAUCACCGCUGCGCAGCGCU